CCCCGGUUGUUUGUGGAAUAGGAUUGACAGGGUGCACAUGUCAAUCCUUCUCAGAUUUGUGGAAUCACUCUAUCAACACGUCUUGCCCUCCGCCCUCGAAUGGCUCGGUACAUAACGUAAUGAGCAGUGCGUGAGGAGAGCUGGUGUGCAGGUGCUAUAUCAUAAUGAUGGCACAAGUGGUCCGUUUCAUCUCUUACGCUCUGACUGUAUGCCUGUUUGAAUGCAGUGAGCUCCACAAAAGAGAGACACUGAGCCCCCUUCUUACUGAGAUCGUCUGUCUGCCUGCUGGACAAGCUGUGUCCUGCCCACUGAACUCAAUUCAUAGAUUUGUGAUUGUGAAUCUGUCCUGUUUCAGCAGGUACUUUGGUAUCUUUAAACAUGAAAUUAAAUACUAAUAUGCA